UAAUACGUAGGGUGCAAGCGUUAAUCGGAAUUACUGGGCGUAAAGCGUGCGCAGGCGGUUAUGUAAGACAGAUGUGAAAUCCCCGGGCUCAACCUGGGACCUGCAUUUGUGACUGCAUAGCUGGAGUACGGUAGAGGGGGAUGGAAUUCCGCGUGUAGCAGUGAAAUGCGUAGAUAUGCGGAGGAACACCGAUGGCGAAGGCAAUCCCCUGGACCUGUACUGACGCUCAUGCACGAAAGCGUGGGGAGCAAACAGG
rnacentral:rRNA from 1 species